rnacentral:rRNA from 1 species
CACGUAGGGGACGAGCGUUGUCCGGAUUCACUGGGUUUAAAGGGUGCGUAGGUGGGCUGGUAAGUCAGUGGUGAAAUCCCCAAGCUUAACUUGGGAACUGCCAUUGAUACUAUCAGUCUUGAAUACCGUGGAGGUUAGCGGAAUAUGUCAUGUAGCGGUGAAAUGCUUAGAUAUGACAUAGAACACCAAUUGCGAAGGCAGCUGGCUACACGAAUAUUGACACUGAGGCACGAAAGCGUGGGGAUCAAACAGG